UUAUUUAUCUGCAGGGGAGAUAACAUGAUCACAAAGGUGGUUUCCCUAGGGUAGGGUUUAUCCAUUGCACUCCCAGUGUGCUGACCCCUGCAAUAUCCUCAACGUGGGAAACUGGACUGCAUAAUUUUUGGUAGUAGGGCAUUACGUUCACAAAAGAUUUUU
rnacentral:snRNA from 1 species